AUUGAACGCUGGCGGCAGGCCUAACACAUGCAAGUCGAACGGCAGCGGGGGGUAGCUUGCUAUCCUGCCGGCGAGUGGCGGACGGGUGAGUAAUGCAUGGGGAGCUGCCCAGUCGAGGGGGAUAACAACUGGAAACGGUUGCUAAUACCGCAUACGCCCUAAGGGGGAAAGGUGGGGAACUUCGGUCCUACCGCGAUUGGAUGCGCGCAUGUGGGGUUAGCUAGUUGGUGAGGUAGCGGCUCACCAAGGCGACGAUCUCUAGCUGGUCUGAGUGGAUGACCAGCCACACUGGAACUGAGACACGGUCCAGACUCCUACGGGAGGCAGCAGUGGGGAAUAUUGCACAAUGGGGGAAACCCUGAUGCAGCCAUGCCGCGUGUGUGAAGAAGGCCUUCGGGUUGUAAAGCACUUUCAGUCAGGAGGAAGGGGUGAUGGCUAAUAUCCAUCAUCAUUGACGUUACUGACAGAAGAAGCACCGGCUAACUCCGUGCCAGCAGCCGCGGUAA
rnacentral:rRNA from 1 species